ensembl:lincRNA
GUGGCACAUACAGCAGAAGGAGAAGAGGCCAAGGAUGGGUGCCUACACACGCCUGGUAUUAGAAAAUCGAGAGCCAGGAAAGGACACAUUGAGAUCCAGGAGAAAAUCCCAGAGGAACAAAAUGCUGGCCUGGUGUGGUGACACGUGUCUGAAAUUCUAGCACUUGAGAGGUAGAGAGAUCAAGGUCAUCCUUGCCAUAUGAUGAGCUGGAGACCAGCCUGGACAAGCUCAAGCUCUGCCUUAAGGAGGGCCAGUGGGGGAACCAGAUAAGGUUCUUGUCUUACUAGAAUGGAAAAAGACCUGAGUUUGCUCCCCAGAAUCCACAUUUUUUAAAUGCUGGCAUGGUAGCAUGCACUUGUAAUCCCAGAGCAGGGGGAAAGGAGGUAGAGGCAGAUGGAUUCCUGGGACCACUCAACAGCCAAUCCAGCCUACACAGGCAGCUCUAAGACAGUGAUGGAUGGACCCUGUCUCCAAAACACGAGAGGUCUCCCUCUGACAUCCACACACGUGUGCAUGCAGAUCAUGCACACACUUGGACCUCUCUCUCUCUCUCUCUCUCUCUCUCUCUCUCUACACACACACACACACACACACACACACACGAUGACUAAGCUCUCAGUUUCCAAAAGGCUUAACUUAGGCAGCUCCCACUUUGAACUCCUGCAUCUUACCUUCCACUCAGGUUGUUUUGUGACUAAAAAGUGCCUGAAGGAUUCGUGUCUUUGUGGCAUGCAUGUCUGUGCCACCCAUGGCCAGAGAAAUUAAAAGGCUGAUCCUUGGCCAAAGGACAAUAGAAACCGACAGUAAACGCUCCCCCUUACAUCCACUGGGUAGACAUGUUUGAGUCAGGUUUCAUGACUGUUCAUUAGAGAAUCAGGUGUCUAUAAAAAUAGUUACAAGAAGAGCAUCUUUUUCUUGUUUUAUAGCAGCAGCAGCACCACCACCACCACCACUCAUACCCUGAGGUCACUCUUCAGUAACCACCUGCCUACACACCAGCGUUUGAGACACAGUAGAACAUGACAGGAAGUAGAAGAGGGAAGGAGUGACUGGUAUGGCCGGGCCUGGGGAAGGUGAGAGGAGUUGGGUGGAGACUGCCUGUUACAAGAAGAGAGAACCUUUUCUCUAUGUGCCACAGGGGCACAGGUAAGACGACUGUCUCGGAGUCAGUUGCAAUCACGUAUCAGCAUGUGCCAUUACCAAGUCUGCUUGGAGUCUGGGACUUCACAGAUGACAGGUUACCCGUCUGCAUUCAUUUGGAUUCAGAGAAGAAAUUUAAUAAAUGUCAUUUGUUGAAUAUUUGUUAUCUAUAUUUGUGCCUAUAGGGAAAUUUGUUGGAAAGACCUGGCUUAUAUAAUGGUGAGGGAAAGAGGGAUGAGAACUUUCCUAUCCUAUCCUAUCCACUUUUCUAUUGUUCAGGAUUUUUCUUAUAGUAGUCACAAAUUGAUUCUUCUAAGUACAUGGGUGAUACUUUAAAACCUCUAUGCAUAUUAAACAUAGAAUUAGCUCCUGGGAGACAGCUGUGUAGAGAACAUUUUCUAACUUACAGAAUAUACAAAGCAGUCAGCCACAAGCAUUUCCAUUGUUCUGAAUUACUCAUCAGCCACACUUUAAAAGACGUUCAGUGUAGCGUGUGCCUGGCGCAUUUUGCGAUAGUUCUCUUCAAGCUCUGUAGUAAAUUAAUGGUCUUGGUAAUGGCACGUGCCACGAAUGAAUGAAAUGAUGAAUUUCAGAAUGACUGAGGUUGAGGUAUGCAGAGACUGUAACUGACUCCUAGACUAUAUCAGAAGAGCUUGAGUUGGCCAAGACCUUUCGGUGCCAGGCAGGAGGGACUGAGGCUGAAACUCCAAAGCCAUCCCACCACAAAAUAUCUCAGCCAGUCACCUUGGCCUGGGGCCUAGACUGUUUAUUUUUAACUUAGCGUGGUUUUAGUUUUCUCCACACUGAUUUUGGAUCUGUGCAUCACUUGCUCCUGACAUAGGGCUCAUGUUCAUUACAUUCCUGCUGAGAGUUUAAACACAUAUCCUGAUAAUGACUUCCAAUUCGGCCACAGAGUGGCAACUUGAAAUACCAGCAAGCUAUUUCUCUGAAGUGAGAAGCAUGGGCUAUCAUCUAAUUGAUCAUCGACUGAGUGACUGACAACGAAUUUCUAACUUAAAGGGAGUUGGAGAAUAUUUUUAAAAAUAUAAAAUAAAAUGCUCAAAGUGACUAGCAUGCAAGAGAAAAUGGGUAAUUUCACCAGAGUUUAAAAAUGAAUGAAGUAUAAAUGUUGGCAAUUUAAGACAAGACAUUAGAGAUUAAUUCUGUGGUCUUAUUGUAAUAUUGAUUCAACUAAGCAAAGAACUGAUAAAUUGAAGAUAGUUCGUCUAGGUUUCCAUGUAUCUAAAUGCAGAAGAUGGGGGAGAGGUGGAGAAACGUGAGCCCAGCAUGUCAAACUACAGCACAAUGUCAUAUGGGAUAUGGGAGCACUUGUGGGAGAGUGCAUAAAAUUCUCAUAAAAUCACAGUGCAUAAAAUUCUAAAAGAACUAAUAAAAACUGAUACAAUAAUUCUCAAAGAAG